GUGCCCCAGAAGCCCCAACAUCAUCUGCUGCCCAUCUGUUGGCCCUGGAGUUGUUGACUGAGGGGAAGGGAUCUUGGGGGGACAGGACAGAAUGGCCAGGGCAGUAGGUAUGAGUGGUACCUAAGAGCUUGAGGCUGCUGGCCACCAGGAACAGAGGUGUUUCAGCAAUGAACAUCUGUGCAACUGUAGUAGGGAGUCCUGGUCAAAUAUCCCCCUUGCUUACAGAAGCUGCCUUCAAGAUUCUGAUUUUUCUCUUGAGAGCAGAGGAAAGCAGCCCACAGAUUCCAGCACAGGAGUGCUGUGGUCAGAGGUGCACCUUUAAGGUCCUACUCUGUGGAAUAUAGGUGGGGCAUAGUCAUGAGACAUGCAGGAGUCAUGGCUGUGGGGACAGCCUGGUGAUGAUUGGAUGGAGGGACAGGGANNNNNGCUUCCAGAAGGAGCCUCAGGGUCAGGGCCAUGUAGUGUGCAGUUGGUGGCACCACCCACUGGAACAAAGAAUGCUGCAAAUUGGUGUCCCUGGGCAACAGGGUGGAGAGUCAGGAAGCAAGUAGCAUGGAGAUCCUGGUGAGGAGAGUUCAAAGCCCCAAACCAAAGACAUUUGGAAGUUGUUCAGCACUCGAGGAAGCUAAACUCUGGCAUUGGCUGAUGCAGACAGGGAGGAGAAGCAUGUAGAAUAUAAUCCCAUCUGCGUCUCGGCAGGGCCAUCCCACAUGUGUUUAUUAAACACCUAUUUUGUGCCAGGUUCUAUUCCAGGCACUGUACAAGCUCCACAAAAGAGGCAGUCAUGCCCUUGGCAUUUGUAUCCUGGUAAAGGAGACAGCUACUAACCGAGAAAAUGGACAAGUGCGUAGUGUAAGCUGCUGAGAAGGACGGUAAAGGAGAAAGGAUAAGAAAAAGGGCCUAUUCUACAUGGACUCAUUAUGGAGGUGGUUUUUAAGAGACCUAGAAGAAGUAAGAGAGAGAACUAUAUGGUUUUUUGGGAGCAGCAUUCCUGGAAGAGGAGAAAUCAUAUGCUAAGGCCCUGAGGCCACUGGGAACCAAGAGUAAGCUUGGUUUGUUUGGAUAGCAGCAUGAAGAACAGUGCAGUCAGAGCAGAAUGAGCUAAGGGAAAGCAGUAGGCAAAAGGAUGGGGGAAAUGGCCAGGGCCACAUAGUGAAGGGUCUGGGGCUGAGGUGAGGACUCACAUUUUGCUCCAGUGGGAAGCCACUGGAAGGCCACAUCUGUUCUGUAGGAGGUGCUUGGUGUGACUUAGGCUCUUAAUUAUCCAUCCAGGUUGCUGUGGUAUUGUCACAGAGCAGACCUGGGGUUCAGGGCCAGAAGCAGGGGCAGUGAGGAGGCAGAGGCAGUGAGCAGCUAAACCAUAUGCUGGCUUUGACUAAGAAGGGGUGGGAGCCUGGAGGCUUUGUCUCCCUGAGUUUGGAGUGUUGUCACCUGGGCAUGGUGGCCUCAGCAGACAUCAGGCAGAGGGACCUUUCUGGGCUCAAAAUGACAUCAUUCUUGCCACUAAAGUGACCACAUAGUGCCAGGCUGGUGGGCUCAAUCUUUGGAAGCUUCUCAGGACCUCUCUGGUCACUCAGAUGGGUCCUGCCACACAGCAUGGCAGCACUGAGCAUGUGCCAAGCCACAGGGAAGCAAGUCCAAGGCUUUCCCUGUAUGUAGCACCCAGCCUAGGGCUUGUUAUCCAGUGGGUGCUCUGAUAUUUGUUUGAAUAAAUGCCAUAGUUCUGCAUGUGCCAGUCUGUGCUUCAUAUGUUCAAUUUUCAGAAUUAUCACCUGUCUCUAUCAAAUCAUACCUUCUUUGGUGACUAUGGUAAUUAAAAUAAAUACUUUCAGGGUAGAGGUGGCUGGCUUUCACAUCUACCAAUUAGCCAGGAAAGAAGAAAGCACGUGGAGCACUGCAAACCUGCUCCCCACCACCUCAGCUCAAGAAUGCCAGGCCAGGCAGUGCUCACGGGGCUGAGCCUCAGGCUGGAAAGAAAGCCUCACUAGUUUAGUUUUCUGUUCUGUUCGCAUUCUGCUAACCAGCGCUGCCUCGCUCAGCCUGCCCGAGGAGAGAAGGCUCUUGAGACCCCA
rnacentral:lncRNA from 1 species